rfam:Ictidomys tridecemlineatus contig081290, whole genome shotgun sequence.
GGGGUUGUGGCUCAGUGGUAGAGUGCUCGCCUAGCAUGUGUGAGGCCCUGGGUUCGAUCCUCAGCACCA